rnacentral:rRNA from 1 species
GAGUUUGAUCAUGGCUCAGAUUGAACGCUAGCGGGAUGCCUUACACAUGCAAGUCGAACGGCAGCACGGACUUCGGUCUGGUGGCGAGUGGCGAACGGGUGAGUAAUGUAUCGGAACGUGCCUAGUAGCGGGGGAUAACUACGCGAAAGCGUAGCUAAUACCGCAUACGCCCUACGGGGGAAAGCAGGGGAUCGCAAGACCUUGCACUAUUAGAGCGGCCGAUAUCGGAUUAGCUAGUUGGUGGGGUAACGGCUCACCAAGGCGACGAUCCGUAGCUGGUUUGAGAGGACGACCAGCCACACUGGGACUGAGACACGGCCCAGACUCCUACGGGAGGCAGCAGUGGGGAAUUUUGGACAAUGGGGAAACCCUGAUCCAGCCAUCCCGCGUGUGCGAUG